rnacentral:rRNA from 1 species
CUGCGGACGGCUCAUUAAAUCAGUUAUCGUUUAUUUGAUAGCACCUACUACAUGGAUAACUGUGGUAAUUCUAGAGCUAAUACAUGCUAAAAAUCCCGACUUCGGAAGGGAUGUAUUUAUUAGAUUAAAAACCAAUGCCCUUCGGGGCUCUCUGGUGAUUCAUAAUAACUGCUCGAAUCGCAUGGCCUUGCGCCGGCGAUGGCUCAUUCAAAUUUCUGCCCUAUCAACUUUCGACGGCUGGGUCUUGGCCAGCCAUGGUGACAACGGGUAACGGAGGGUUAGGGCUCGACCCCGGAGAAGGAGCCUGAGAGACGGCUACUACAUCCAAGGAAGGCAGCAGGCGCGCAAAUUACCCAAUCCCAAUUCGGGGAGGUAGUGACAAUAAAUACUGAUACAGGGCUCUUUUGGGUCUUGUAAUCGGAAUGAGAACAAUUUAAAUCCCUUAACGAGGAACAAUUGGAGGGCAAGUCUGGUGCCAGCAGCCGCGGUAAUUCCAGCUCCAAUAGCGUAUAUUAAAGUUGUUGCAGUUAAAAAGCUCGUAGUUGAACCUUGGGCCUGGCUGGCCGGUCCGCCUCACCGCGUGCACUGGUCCGGCCGGGCCUUUCCCUCUGGGGAGCCGCAUGCCCUUCACUGGGCGUGUCGGGGAACCAGGACUUUUACUGUGAAAAAAUUAGAGUGUUCAAAGCAGGCCUAUGCUCGAAUACAUUAGCAUGGAAUAAUAGAAUAGGACGUGUGGUUCUAUUUUGUUGGUUUCUAGGACCGCCGUAAUGAUUAAUAGGGACAGUCGGGGGCGUCAGUAUUCAAUUGUCAGAGGUGAAAUUCUUGGAUUUAUUGAAGACUAACUGCUGCGAAAGCGUUCGCCAAGGAUGUUUUCAUUAAUCAGGAACGAAAGUUAGGGGAUCGAAGACGAUCAGAUACCGUCGUAGUCUUAACCAUAAACUAUGCCGACUCGGGAUCGGACGAUGUUAUUUUUUGACUCGUUCGGCACCGUAUACGAAAGUAAAGUUUCUGGGU